GAUACCCAGUCUACACGCUUAGAGAGUACUUAGCAACAGCCCGUCCACGAGGGAGUAGUGUAGUGUCUACCGAGUCACAGACACCAGUUGUCACAAGCAAUGAGGAUGAAUCCGGGGAACUGGCUUCCCUUAUAGAGGAGGAGGUGGUGAUUAGUGCGAGUGGUGGGGUGCAGGGAGCGAGUGGUGAAAGUGAUGUGACUGGGGCCGAGGCGGCUGCGACCACUGUUGAAGAAGAGGAGGAAAUAGGAGACGUUUCCAACAUCUCCGUCAUCAUGUCAGAGCCGGCUGGUGAUAACUUGCUGUAUACACUAGACUAGAUCAGACUUCUGGAUAGUCAGAUAAAAGCUCGGUUUUUUGAUGAAGGAUGACUCCUCGUACCUUUCAUCUGGUGACACUGAUGAUCGCCUCCAGACACUGAUUGAUGAUAGAGCAUAAUUCCACGAGGCACUGAUGAUACGACUGUACUGUCUUCCUCCGAGUCCAUGUCAUCAAGAUCUUCUGCAUGGCCAGAUGUCUUUUGUGUACCCUGUUUCUCCUAUAACGCAGAGAUAUAACUUGACCAGGGCUAAUGAGACACUUCCUUGUGGGCACUAUCUUUUACUUUAUUAAUUAAGAAGUGUGCACUUGUUCACUCCCCCUGUCUUUUAUUGAAGUACCAUUUUAUGAAUGUUCAAUCCAUGUUUGUGUGUGUAUGCAUGUGUGUAAGAGAUUAUGCAAUUAUUUUCUUUAAAAAUACAAAAUUCAUUUUGCUACAUAAAUGUGUAUUUUUUCUGAUUCUUUAUUCCUAAAUUCCCAGAAACCAUACCUACAGAAACCGGCCAAAUCAGUAAUUUUAGAGAUCUUUUUAUUCUCUAUGCUUGGUUGGUCAGGGUGAGUCUCGGGUGGGAAACCCUAUGUUCAUUGUUUCUAUGUUUUGGCCGGGUAUGGUUCUCAAUCAGGGACAGCUGUCUAUCGUUGUCUCUGAUUGGGAAUAAUACUUAGGCAGCCUUUUUUCCUUUUUUAUUUGUGGGUAGUUGUCUUUGUUUGAUGCAGGUAUAGCCUCUCGGAGCUUCACGGUCGUUUUUGUUGUUUUGUUGGCAACAUAUAAAGAAAAAAUGUACGCUUACCACGCUGCACCUUGGUCCGGUCAUUUUCAAGACAGCGAUUGUGACAAUUCAAGGGUUUUUCUUUAUUUGUACUAUUUUCUACAUUGUAGAAUAAUAUCAAAGGCAUCAAAACUAUGAAAUAACACAUGGAAUCAUGUAGUAACCAAAAAAGUUUGAAACAAAUCAAAAUAUCUUUUAUAUUUUAGAUUAUCUAAAGUAGCCACCCUUUGCCUUGAUGACAGCUUUGCACACUCUUGGCAUUCUCUCAACUAGCUCCACCUGGAAUGCUUUUCCAACAGUCUUCAAGGAGUUCCCACAUGUGCUGAGUUCUUUUUGGCUGUGUUUCCUUCACUCUGUGGUCCAACUCAUCCCAAACCAUCUCAAUUGGGUUGAGGUCGGGUGAUUGGGGAGGCCAGGUCAUCUGAUGCAGCACUCCGUCACUCUCCUUCUUGGUCAAAUAGCCUUUACACAGCCUGAAGUUGUGUUGGGUCAUUGUCCUGUUGAAAAAAGAUAUAUAGCCCCACUAAGUGCAAACCUGAUGGUGUAAAGCUGCAGAAUGCUGUGGUAUUCAUGCUGGUUAAGUGUGCCUUGAAUUCUAAAUAAAUCAGUGUCACCAGCAAAGCACUCCCACACCAUCAGACCUCCUCAUGCUUCACAGAGGGAACCACACAUGCGGAGAUCAUCCGUUUACCUACUCUACGUCUCAAAAAGACACGUUGGUUGGAACAGAAAAUCUCAAAUUUGGCCUCCAAGAGCAAGGGACAGAUUUACACCUGUCGAAUGCCGAUUGCUCAUGUUUCUUGGCCCAAGCGAGUCUCUUCUUGUUAUUGGUGUCCUUUGGUAGUGGUUUCUUUGUAGCAAUUCGACCAUGAAGGCCUGAUUCAUGCAGUCGCCACUGAACAGUUGAUGUUGAGAUGUGACUGUUAAUUGAACUCUUGUUAAGCAUUUAUUUGGGCUGCAAUUUCUGAGAGUAACUCUAAUGAAUGUAUCAUCUGCAGCAGAGGUAUCUUUCUGUGGCGGUCCUCGUGAGAGCCAGUUUCACCAUUGCAAAUGAUGGUUUUUGCGACUCUACUUCAAAGUUAUUGAAAUGUUCCUGUUUGAUUGAUCUUCAUGUCUUAAAGUAAUGAUGAACUUUUAACAAGGCACCUGUUCAUUGAAAUGCGUUCCAGGUGACGACCACAUGAUGCUGGUUGAGAGAAUGUCAAGAGUGUGCUAAGCUGUUAUCAAGGCAAAGGGUGGCUCCUUUGAAGAACCUCAAAAUAACAUUUUGGUUACUACAUGAUUCCAUAUUUGUUAUUUCAUCAUUUGAAAUAUUCACUAUUAUUCUACAAUGUUGAAAUAAAAACCCUUGCAUGAGUAGGUGUCCAUACUUUUGACUGGUACUUUAAGUCAAAUAGCUUGAACUGGCAUAAUUCAUUCAUUUUGGAGGUAUUUGAUUCAGUUGUGUUUGAUAAACAUUAAUACUUUUUUGUCAAUCUGACAACUAUUUUGAAUGAUUAUUUAUAAAUCCAAUCCUGUUUAAAUAACUCAAGUAAAUUAACUAAAUCUGUAAUAAUCAUUAAGUAAAAAAAUACAUUUAAUCACUUUUUUCCAUUAUUGAUUUCAAAAUUGAUAGAGGAGCUUCAAAGGACAUUUCUUCUGGUAUUUUCUAGUCUUAGCUUGAUGGAUACAGCGUACACACUGCUGAUGAGGGCGUUGGCUGUGCCUGGACAACAGCAGUUCCUAUAGUAUACGGCUGGACGGGGUUGAUUUGACUGGGAUCCAAUAACAUUGCCUGCUGAGGCAGGUGGUAACAGAUCUGAUCAUCUUGUCAGCAACCUAUCGGGCAUAUGUGUCCAAUAAGACACACACUGACCUGUUGGGGAGGUGCAGGAGGGUGAGGGGAUGCUGCUGUCUUUCAAGACCCCAGAACUGGGGGAGUUCACGGCAAAGAUAAGAAAGGCGAUGUACAUGAUAUGUGUGAAGGUGUCGCAUGUGUCCUCCUUGGAAGUGGUUAGAUCAUUGAGGAAGGCCAGUUUGUCUGAACUAAGCACUUCCCUUCUCCGAAAGGCUUCUGACGGUCUUUAUUAAACAAACUGCCAAAUGAUAAACGGACAGCUGACCUCUAAUGGGGGAUACUACAUGAGGUGAUAGACACCACCUGGAUCCGAGCUUUGGGGAGGAUGAGUCCAUUCUGUGGCUUCUCUGAGUCGCUAGCUCAGACAUCUUUUUGUACAAUGUCCAAAACUGGCGGGGCUGUUUGCGCUGUUAACCAGCUGUUUUUUUCCUUGGAGGAGGUUUUCUCUUCCUGCCUUUUUGUUUUUGGACCAUAGUAUAGUUUUAGGGGAGUGGUAGUCCUACUUCAUUUCAUAUCAGGAGCAGCCAAGCUAGUGAUCUGGAAGACCAGGAGAAAUUGCAUACAGGGACAUGGGUCUGUGGACGUGCUGGCCAUGCUCAGGGGGAUUACUAUGUUAGUGUUUCCUUAAUUUUCACAGUAACCUGUACAAAUGUAAGGGAUAGUGUACCAUUUGGUCAGUCAGAAAUCAAAAUAACACAUCUGGAGACCAUCUCCUCAUCUCUGCCCUACUUUCUCUGCUUGGUGCUCUGAAAGGGUGUGAUCUCCAGUCUAUUGUGUGUCUAUCCAAGUUAACCGUCCUUCUAUGACUUUAAACUUAAAAUCUCGGGGAAAAGCAGUUGUGGGAACUGAAGAUAUAUUUCUUUGGACAGAUGACUGACGUUAAUUCCAGUUGUACAGAGGUAAAAUACAGUGUGCAUUUUAGAACACCCUCAACCUCAAGCCUCAGGUCGUACCCGUACACCAUAACUCAGGUGUCCUAAAAUGGACACAAUAGUAGAGUAGAUUCCUGAAUCCCACUAACUUCAUGUUGCUGUGUUAUGAGGUUAGCUAGCAGGUUGGUACUUGACACACAUAUCAUGCCAAUAGAUAUAGCUGCCUAAUUCUGUCUUGGCAUUGGAUUGACACUGGGCUGGGGCGUGUAUGGAGGUGCACACACUGUCCUCUACUAUUUAACACCAUGUGCCUCUACUCAUAAGUGAUAGUCGCUGGCAUUUUAUCAUAGCUACUGUAUAUGAGGUGUUGACAUGCACUAUGCCACAAAUUAUUAGAUUCAACAGACAACGAAUAUGGCUGGUAUGACACUGGCAUAAUGUAGCUGGCACUCAGUUUAUACAGUCAUGAUGGCUUAAUACAUAGCUGGCUAUCAGUGUCUGGGGGGAGACGUGGGGCAUUUCACACAUACUGUACAGUGGACUAGAUACUGGAGAGGAUAGUGGUCAUAUUCUUGUUAUAGGUCAUCAUUUGGUACUGAUCUAGGGAAAUGAGCCACCUCACGCUACAGAAACAACAUAUAGGCUCCUGUGGGCCAUUCUGGCUCGGUCAAGGCUUACUUUAGGACACAGAGAUGUGUGUGGAAUGGGUAUGUGCUAUGGGUUUCAGUUCAUGAAUGUGUACUAAUGGUAGCUCUCUACAAUGAGGACUCAUUAGGGUACUACUGGGUUGAGUGUGUUCUGCCAAUUAAGUAACACUUUAAUUAUAAAUUAGAGAACAUUUUGGAGUGUUUCCUCCGUCUAAUUAUUUGAUGAUUGCAAACCAGACUAGCACAUUAACAGUUUUUAAACAUACCGUGUACAUUCUUCAUGGCACUGGAAAGAUAGACUAUACCCUUUGUAUUACUAUGAUACCUAAGCCAAUAUAUGGGUUGUAAGAUGGCAGUCUAAUGGCACCCCUCCAGGCCAGAUUAACGCCUUCCGAAAGCCUUCCAAAUGUCACAAACUUUAAUUCCUGGGGUCUCUGAGACUGGACCCUGACCCACGCCCCACAACCCCCAAACACCCAACGGGCUAAUCAGAGUCAUUACCGCCCCCAGUCGUCAACGACAACAGCCUGUCAUGAUAAGGUUUGUUCCUAAAACUAGCCUGUAAUUGGAUGAUUGGAUUAGGAAGUGGAUAGGAGGGUAAUGGGAUACUGCCCAUAAUGAUGUGUGGCCAUGGUAGCAGCGUAAGGGGCUUUUUAAAAUGUAUUUUUAAUUUAACCUUUAUUUAACUAGGCAAGUCAGUUUAGCCUAGUCUGUGAUGAAUCUGAAGAUUUGGCAUCAUAAAUUAAAAUGAUUUGCGCUAGAAUGGAUUGAGUGAGCCACUUAGCAUCUGUCAGUCUGCCCAUAUGCCACAGAGAUGAACUACAGAAAUGUUUUCUCCUCCUCGCUUGCCCGCCACUCCUCGGAAAGUGUCAUUAGGGGGAUAGGGAGAGAGAAAGAGCGAGAGAAAGAGAUAGCGAGAGAAAGGAAAAACAGGGUGAUGUGGUUAAAACUUCUUCAGGAUCGGUGUCCCUUCCACAGGACGGUUGAGCUAACGUAGGCUAAUGGGAUUAGCAUAAGGUUGUAAGUAACAAGACAUUUCCCCAGGACAUAGACAUAUCUGAUAUUGGCAGAAAGUUUACAUUUGUGUUAAUCUAACUGCACUGUCCAAUUUACAGUAGCUAUUACAGUGAAAUAAUACCAUGCUAUUGUUUGAGGAGAGUGCACAAUGUUGAACAUGAAAAGUUAUUAAUAAACAACUUAGGCACAUUUGGGAAGUCUUGAUGCACAAUUUUGAACAGAAAUGCAAUGGUUCAUUGGAUCAGUCUGAAACUUUGCACAUACACUGUUACUAUCUAGUGGCCAAAAUCUAAAUUGCACCUCUGCUGGAAUAAUAUAUUAUGGCCUUUCUCUUGCAUUAAAAUUAAAUUAAAAUGAAAAAGAAUGUUUUUUUUUCUUCUUUGUAUUAUCUUUGCCAGAUCUAUAUUGUUAUAUUCUCCUACAUUCUUUUCACAUUUCCACAAACUUCAAAGUGUUUCCUUUCAAAUGGAACCCAGAAUAUACAUAUCCCUGCUUCAGUGCCUGAGCUACAGGCAGCUAGAUUUUUGGUAUGUCAUUUUAGGGUCCAUAAGGCUCUAUUCUAAAGUAGUGCACUGUACAGCGUAUAAUUGUGGGGUGCCAUUUGGCAUGCAGUUCUGUUUUUUAACAGAAAUUCAGUUCAGCAUAACCUUGUGUGAAACACCAGCCAAAUGUUAACCACAGGCCACAUAAAAAUGGUACAGCUGAUGUUUGUUUCUUCAAGGAUGAAUGCUGCAGGAAACUUGGAGUGUGUUUCAUAUGGUACUGUAUGUCAAGUCUAUUCAGGUGCUGAAGGUGCUUUUGGAGGGUCUCCUUGCUAAGCCAAAGCAAGCUGCAUGGUUGACUUGGGAAUGUAAGAAAACAUUACAGACCAACAACCACAAAAAUACUACAGUACAACUGUAUAAGGACACACAGGCACUGCCUAUGAGUGUAUCAGUACACAAUACAUGACAGCAAUAGAACAUUUUCCUGAAAAACAAUGUUAUGAUUUAGUCCCACUUGUUACAUCACCCUCUUCUCUUUCUCUCUCUCUCUCUCUCUCUCUCUCUCUCUCUCUCUGAUCGGUUGAGUGGAGACAGGUGUGCUGGAAGCGGAGCAGAUUCCCACCAGCUGCAACCUGUUCCAUAAUCAAGAACCUUACAGAUACUCAGCCCUGACACCUCCACACUGCCAGAUCGUAGCAUCUACUCAUCCCAUCUGCUCUGACUCUGGUACCUGUCUCCUCAGUCCUGCUUACCUGCCCUGGAUCCCCGCUUCACUGCUUCAUUGGAUUCUGCUCCAGAUCUGUUUACCUGGUUCCUAAUCUCCUUGCCCCCAGCCUCAGUCCGGAAUCCCUACUACCUGCCUGAGAUUCCCAUGGACUGCACCUCAUCUCCUCUCCUGCUUUUCAAUAAAUACAUUGGUUACCUA